rnacentral:rRNA from 1 species
UACGUAGGUGGCAAGCGUUGUCCGGAUUUACUGGGCGUAAAGAGCGCGCAGGCGGUCGAUCAAGUCGCGUGUGAAAGCCCCCGGCUCAACUGGGGAGGGUCACGCGAUACUGAUCGACUCGAAGGCAGGAGAGGGUAGUGGAAUUCCCGGUGUAGUGGUGAAAUUCGUAGAUAUCGGGAGGAACACCGGUGGCGAAGGCGGCGACCUGGGACAAUACUGACGCUGAGGUGCGAAAGCGUGGGGAGCAAACAGG